GGCGCCCCCCGCCCCAGCCACUCCCCCGGAGCCAAUGAGCAGGUGCAGGUUGGGGUGGAGCUGGAGGCCAACACGCGGCUGCAGGACACCACCUUCGCCUUCGGCUACCAGCUCAACCUGCCGCAGGCCAACAUGGUCUUCAGAGGGCUCCUGGACAGUAACUGGAGCGUCGGGGGGGUGCUGGAGAAGAAGCUGCCCCCCCUGCCCGUCACCCUGGCUCUGGGUGCCUUCCUCAACCACUGGAAGAACCGUUUCCACUGCGGCUUCAGCGUCAUCGUGGGCUGAGGGGCCCGCAGGGGCGGGCGGCAUGUGCCACCGUCCUGCUCAGGGAGCCACCGUGCCGUGCCGUGCCGCGGGGAUGCCAGCCAGGCCCCGCUCU